CUCGUGAAGUGGUUCGAGGCUUAGGUCUGACAGAUCUGCGAAGCGCUGGCUGAGAGCGAGAGCGCGACACCCGUUGUGCAGUUUUAAAUUCCUGAGCAGCCACACAAGGCUCUAAGGCACACACGGUGGCUCGGAGUUCAGUUAAAAGCUGUUACUGUUUUGUUUUUACGAAACACUUAAAAUAGGCCAUAAUUUGUUUCAUCCCAAAGGUAGAAUACUAGUGUGUCACCGGAGUUGUGUCCGAAAGCUGACCACCUCCACUGCCGUACAAGGGUAACGCGGGCACACACGCAAGUGCAAGAUGCGGCGGGGACUGGAACCGAGGAAGUGGAGAGUGUUGCGCCAGACGAUUCUGCGCAUGUGCCGGGGAAGAGGGAGGUAGAAGUUUCCGCAUGCGCAACAGGGUCGCGCGAGGGCGGGGGGGGGGGAGCGACUGGGACAGCUGUGGAGACAGCCCGCUUUCCCGGCAUGCCCCGGGGCGGCGGGGUUGGCUCUAACGAAUUUGAAUGAGGAGCCUCAGCGCUUUCGGCGCCAUUUUCGAGUGAUGCCUGAUCUCAUCAAUCUAGCGGGAGAGAAGGGAUAACCUGUCCGAGAGUAGCGCGACGCUAGGAUCGCGCCGGAAAAUCCCCCAAAAAUCAUCAAAAAAAUAACUUAGACCAAAGGACAGUCGGUGGGGCUUCGCCAGACCCGGCGCCAUCGUCCUUGAAACGCAGCGUCUCAAGGAAAAGUAGCGUGGAACUUGGUGUUUCCUGCCGACAAGCCUUUGCACCUACGAUUUAACGGUAAUUUUGCAGUCCUCAACUUUUCUUGGCGCUGAUGUGGAAGAAAUCGGAGUUGUCUUUCCUUUUGGGGGUUCGUUUCUUUUCUUUUUUUCCCCCCAUUGACUGUUGGCUUUUUGUCAACCGGGAGUCGACAGCUUUUGAAUAAGCCAGUGACAACUUUGACUUUAGGUAAUAAUCGCUAGGUAUUGUGGAGUCCACGUUAAACACUCAUGAGAUCUUGUAUCGCUUUCCUCCCUCAGCACCCCUAGAUUAACCCUUAGCUAAUGUGAGGUCCUGCGGGAGGGUCGCACGAACCUGGCUCACAAAUCCUCCGCAGAUGCUUUGGCAGCAGCUUCUCAGUUAUUCGCUGAGGAAUAAGGCUUCUUGGGAACCUCAGUGACCUGCUAUUCCGAGCAGGCCCCCUACAGAGCUUUCUCCCUCUGGAAUUUUAUCAGAACCCUGGAUUUGGUUUGUGUCUGUGAAAACUGGGACCCGCCCUCAUUUAGAUCCCUUCCAGAAGAGUAGGAGCGCAAUGUGAUGUUUUUCAAAUUGUAUCUAACGGAGCUCCCAAACGCCGGGCUUCUUACCCACUGAUUGGCUGGAAGGAAGCGGGACUGGGGGGUUUGAAUGUUGAUCCUGGAGCUGAUAAUUCUUGACCUACCGAAAAACUAUGUUUAGUCAGAGAACUACUCAAGUAGGUACAAACUGUAAAAUCGGAGGUUUUUUGGGUUUUUUUUUAAGUUAGUACAUAAUAGAGUUGUUUCUUCCGUAAAAGCCUUUCAGAUGGUUCUGAAAUAUAUAUUUAAAUGUAAAACUGAAGAGGCUAUUUUCGGAAAACUGUAUUUCUGCUGUUGCAGUUAUAAGACAUUUCUGUUCUUCAUUGGUUGAAAACUUGUCCGAAGGAUCUAAGGUGCUUGGUUUUUCCUUUGAUGAAAAUUUUUCGUCUCAGCCUUCGUGUAUAUAUUGGAUACAUAUUAUGGGAGAAUUGUUUCUUUCAUUUUGAUGAAAAUGAACAUUAAAUUAUCUGUUCUACAUUUUUUCGUAAAAAUAUAAUAUAUUCUUAGAACUUGCAAAUCUUUUUUAAAUUGUUUUCUAACUGAGGCAUUGCAGUGAAUUUAAAAUUUUAGUUUACAAGCCAUUUAUGUUUCUUAGUUGAGACUAUAACAAGUAUGUACAGGUGAGCAUAUAUUAUAUAUUAAUGCGUUCCUUUUACAAAUUCAUUAUGAGGAAAUGUGUUGUAUACAGCAGUGCAUAUGUGUUGGUUUAUUUGACUGAUUUCAGUUUUUGUUUAGUGUUAUUUGAGACAGUCAUCAAUAUUUAUUACUCUGCUUGUCAUUCCUUUUAAUUGCAUCUUGAUAACAGGGUGUGGUUUUUCAAAGAGUAGAUGAUUUUGAAAGGAACUUAAAUUUUUAUAUCUUAUAAAUAAUUGAAAUUUUGAGACAUUUCAAUUUAAGACAAACAUGCAGUUAGAAAUAUUCAAUUGAAACAUUUUCAUAAAUAUAUAAGACUAUAAAUUAAUUUACAAUUAAUACACUCUUAUAUUACUUUAAUAAUAAUUAUGUUUACUGAACCCCAUAAUUUUUUUUCAGAGUGUUUAUUUUGGAUCUUUUUAUAAAAUUUUCCUAAAAUUAUCUAUAACAUUUGAUUUACUAAAAGUGUAGAUCUCAUUUCUAUUCUGCAUAUAAUAUGUAAAAUGCGUUUUGCUUUUUACUGUUGGUAUGUUUUUUUAUUUUAAUUUUUAUUCAAAUUAAUUAUGAUUGGGAGAGAAUUAUGGGAGUGGAGAGAAGCUUUAAUUUCACCAGACUGGUGAAAUUGAACUAUAUUUUUUGACACUUCGGUUUAUGGGAUUUGUAUUAUGUUAAGGGCCAUAAUUGAAGGUAUUUUUUUUUCUUUUUUCUUUGAUUUGUUUGUUUUACCAACUUGUUGAAACUAAUAUUCUUUAUUUAAACUAAUUCUCGUAUUAGAAUACACUAUUUAGAAUACACUAGCACCUAAAUAAAUUUCACAACAUUCAAAGUAUUUUCAUGUUUAAUGUAAUACUAGGUAGAAGACAGAAUUCCAAUAGAUCUAUAACUACUUAUUUAAAUCUUUAAAUAGUUAUCUGUGUUUUUCUACAGAAACUGAUUACUCUUAAUUUUCUGUUCUUUUGUGAAAGCUGCAAAAGUUAUUUAUUACCACAGGAAAAUAGCAUUGAAGAAUAGUGCUGAUAUAGUUCUCCCGGCAUUCCAUUUACUAUUGUAGGAGAGUGGGAACAAAAGUAUCAGUUUCCCUGGUAGCAUUGAUUUUCAUUUGUUUGUUCUUUAUACUAGUUCCAAUUAAAGGUCUAAUUUUAGACAAUUUUAAAAAACCUAUUAACUUGUCUUUAGUGUACAUUUACAAAAUGCAGCCUUAGGGUUUUGUAUGCCAUUAGAUUAAUAUCUGUUUUAAUGUUUAUUAGGAACCAAAUCUCAGGAUAAAUUGUCAUAGUGUUCAUGUUCUGGUUCGCAUGUUUUCUUCUCUUUUGUGUGCUGCUUUUAGUUUUUGUUUCAUGAAGACUUGUGUACAGGUUUACUUCUAUUAUUGAUGUAUUUGUUUGUAUGUAGCAACUAUAAAGAAUGUUGAAAAAGUCUUCAAUCUAGAACUAUUGCUCAGCUGAUGGAGUUUAAGAAAGAUAUUUCCAGACUAUAUUUAAUAUUUUUUCAAAAAGCUUUCAACAACUAGAUUUUAAAUUUACAGUUACGGAAAUUAUAAAGUUCAUCUCAAAUCAUAAAAUGUUUCCAACCUUAAAAAGGCUUUUGGCUUUUUUAUUUUCUUUUGUUUAUCACCAUGUUAAUUUCUAUUUAACCCCUUUUAUGAGAUACAUAAUUAGUAUGAUUAUAAUUAGAACAGCACAUUUUAGAAAAAAUUGUAAGACUAUGCAUAGUUUGUUCUUUUUAUUUUUAAUUGCACAAAUUUAGAAACUAUAUGCUUUGCAAUUAAUUUUAGCAUAUAAUUAGAUUUCAAACUAUGACUUGCUGUAACUUUGUGGUCUCAAAUCUCAUAAAACUAAAGGAAAUCAGUAGUAAAAUAACACUUUAUUUCAACUGAGUGUUGAAAAUUAUAUAAAGCAUUUAAUUUUAAUAGGUUACAGUAUUAGAACCUUAAAAUGUGGUUGUCUAUAUAAUAUAAUAUUUAUUUUAAUUGUUACUAUUAUGUAAUAUCUGAUUGUUAGUAUGUACAAAUGACCAUAAAUUCUGUAAAUAAUGCUUUCUGGUAGGUAAGUUUUUUUGUUUUCUUGCCUUUAUAAAAGAUACUUUAAUGGAUUUUUCUUUGAGACAGGUUUCAAGUAAUGGAGUUUUAAUAAGUGUGUGGGUGUGGGUGUGUAAUUUAUUCUUAAUACUUUUCUUGAAGUUGUGAGUUUAAUGUGCUCCUAUUUAAGUCUGUCUUGUUUGAGCAAAGAAAUGUUACAUGGGAAAGACUUGUGAUGUUUCUAAGUAUAAAUAGUAAACUAAUAAAUUUGAGUUUUACUUUGAGAUUUUUCUUUUAGUCAUAAACAUUUUAUAUCCAAACUUUUUGUUCCUUAUUAUCUAAUAUUCUUAUACUGCUUAAAAACAUUACUAUGUUAAAAUUUAACAUUUAAUUUUUUAUUGUUUUGUUAUUUUUAAGGUUGUGGUACCUAUAUUUCAAUGCAUUUAAAUAUAAAAAACUUUAUCUUUUAAAAAAUAUGCAAUUUUCCCAUUAAACAAUCAAAUAUUUAACAACAGAUAUAAAGGGGCUUUUGGUAUUCAUUCUUUCUUUAUUUUAUUUCUUGCUUCAGCCAUUCCUAAAUAAAAGUAGAAAACUCCCACAAAGUAUUAUGGUUCAUAUGUAGUACAUCUACCCCUUUGGCUAUUUAAUAACUUGCUCUUUUAAUAUAGUUGUUGCCUGUUAAGUCAUUAAGAUCCAGAAAGGGUGAAACAAAUAAAUAAAGUUGCAUUUACAACUCUAUUUGGAAGCAUUAAAAGGCUAGUCUAGUGGUGGUCUGUUUAUUUCUCAUUUGCUAAAAAUUUUUAAAUUGGUAGAACUGUAAUAUUAAAAUAUUUGAAAAUAUUCACUCAAGUAUAACAAUACUAAAGUUGAGAAUAAUGAUAAUUUAUCAUCAUUGAUUCAUUUAGUAAUUUUAGGGGAAAGGUAGUCAAAUUUUAUCCUUAUCCUUUGCAUGCUUUUAAACUAUGUACAAGGCCCUGGGUUCGUCCCCAGCUCUGAAAAAAAAAAGGAAAAAAAAAAACCAAAAUUAAACUAUGUACAGAUUUUAGAAUUACAAAGUAUUUUUUAUAAUCUUUCUCAGUUCUCUCAUAAAGAGAAAUGGAAGCAGAAACUUACCUGAUUUGUUUGAAAAGGCUUUGGGUGAUAAUGCAUAUUACUUGUUCUUAAUCAAGUUAUUUUUUGUUCUAAAGAUAUUUCCAGAGAGCAUUGUCGAGAUGGAUUAGAUCAACUUGGGGGAACUACAGGAGAUAUUUCUCUGUUGAGUGUCUUCAUGCAGUAACACAUGCCAUUUUUAUUGCAGAUUUUAACCUUUAGAAGAGAGCCAGUUGUGGAAAACAACCAGUUUUUUGAUCGAAUACCCACGUAAUACAUUGGAAUAUGAUAGGAGAUUAAGGUAUACUAAUGUUUGUUUGUUUUUGUUUUCUUAAGGCAGGGUCUUAAUUCUCCAGUCCAGCCAAGAACUUGCUCUGUAUCCUAAGCUGACCUAGAACUACUCAUUUUUCUGCCUCAAACUCUCCUUAGUGCUGGGGUUGUAAAUAUGUACCAGUAUGUCUGCUUUAUACUAAUGAAUUUUCAAAACCUGUCCUUAUAUAUCUUUGCAAUAUGAUUGGACUUGAUAGUAAUUCUGAAACAUUUGAAUCAACUAAAAUCAGUAAGUAAAGAAUAAACAGAAAUCUUGUAAAUUGGCUGAAUUUAAGUGUCUUGCAUGCUAAAAUUCCAGAUUUUUAAGAACAUAGUUGAUGUUUUUACUGCAUUGUAGAUUCAUCUGAAUUUACCUUUCCCCCACCCACCCCCUAAAAAAGAACAAACUGUAUGUAGCAAUUUUCUUUUUCCCAAGGAUGUUACUACAAUGUGCUAGAUGAGGAGUCUAGUGAUGUAGUGGACUUUAUUCUUACAAAAUGAAGUGUUUUAAGUCAGGUGGAAUUUAGUACUUAGCGGUUUGAUAAGUGGAGAAGUAGGUAGAGUCUAGAAGUUAGAUAAGAUUAAUGAAAAUAUUUUAAGAAAAUUUGAAGUAUUCCAAAUACCUUUCUUACCAAGGCACAAUUUGGUUGAAACUGAAAAACCUACUUUCUUAAGCAAAAAUAAGUAUUUUACUCAUAGAUACUCGAUAUAUUAUUAAUAUCAAAAGUUACAGCACUCUAGUAAUAAAAUUUAGAAUGUUUAAACGUUUGGUAACUACUACCUUAAUCUCCAAAAUACUUAUUGUAGUCCAUUUUUCUAACAUUAUUUUUACUCGAUUUUUAUAUUUAGUUGAGCAUUUCAGUUAGUGUUCAGCUUAAACAAUUAUUUCCUAAAUGGUAAUCUGGUCUAAUAAAAACGAAUAUAUUGACAUUAUUACUCAACAUUACUUGGUUAGUUUUUUUCUAGUAAAAUAUUAACCAUAAGUUUUAAUAAUAUUUACUAAAUGAAAUGGCAAUUGCUAAAAUAUAACUAAUUUUCUUUAGAAUUGUUGAUUAUGUAAUAUGACUAUAAAUAAAUGACAAAAAAUCUCAAAGGCUUUGUUUUCUUAAGAAGUGCAAUUUAAUCUUAAGAAUCAAAAUACAGUUUUCCUGCCCAUAAAAACCUCUUAACUUUAAAUAGUUUAAACAUUUUAGAACAAAUUCUCAGGUGUGUUUUAGAAUGCUAGAAUGUCAAGAUCCAUAUCCAAAUAAUAAAAAACUAGAGUUUGAUAGUUUUAUAUUAUGAGAUAGAUAAUCCAGAAAUGCACAUUUGUUAAUAAUUGAGGCAAAAUAGAAAUCAGUAAACAAUUUAAACAAAAAUUUCUGAUAACUUUUUGUUACAUUUAUACAUGGUGACUUUCAAAUAAAUACAAAGCAUAGAAUGUCUUUAUAACUUUGAUUUUUAAGUUAUGACAAAACAGUUUUGAUGGGUGUGAAUAAACUUUUCCUCUAUCUUACCCAGUGUUUUUUAGGUUAGAGAGUAUUAAGAUAAAAAUGUAGUAUUUUGGAAGGAGGCAGGAAUUGACAUUUAAUUUAUCACUUUUAAUCUAGAUAAUUGACACAAUUUUAAUGGUUAAAUGAAGGAGAAAGCAGUAUAUGAGCUUAUAGUGCAGGCGAGGAUUUAAAUGCAUGGUUCCAAAUUUAGAGUUUAAAAUUUAUGAUACCUGAGGGUCUUAGAAUUUACUGUUUGAACCAAAUAUUUGACAUUAUGUUAUUGUUUUCUCUACAAUUAUAAUCUGGCUUAUUAACAUAGGAAGUUUAGCUUGUUAAAUAAUUUAGUAUCUAAAAGCAACAGUACAGAUAUUAAAAGUUUCUUAUAGCUGACCACUUCUGAUACAAUAAGAAACCUUAACUUGGCUAAUAAUAAAAGCUGUUACAGUUAUAUAUGAUGACCCUUUAUAGGACAUGUUGUAAAUACUUCAAAUUUGCAAAUCUCUCCAGUUCUCUCUUAAAAUGUGGUUUAUUUGUUAAGAAUUUGAGGACAGAAAUUUAUUGAAUUGAUUUAAAUAUUUUAAUUAAAAUUGUUCUCCAGUGAUAGUUAUAUCUUGAAUAUAGAAUUUUUUUUUCUUUCAGUUAAAGGCAUGAUCAAGGUUCCAGGAAAAAUAAUUGCCCUUAAAGUACAUUUGUACUAUCAUUUCUAUCUUAUUGAAAUAUUUAUCUUACAGUGAAAAAUAUGUUAAUAGACGAGGAUGGGGUAAUUUAACAUUUGUUGAUGAGGGGCCUUAAAAUUAUUAUCUGUGAUUUAUAAUGCUAGUUAAUAACAGAACUUGGAUUUGAAACUGUCAGCAGGAUUGUUUUCUUUGAUAGAUAUUUUAAAGUAUUGCAAAGAUUUGCUAAAUAAUAACAGAAUUAACUUGAACAUUUUAAAUAUGUUUAUGAGAAGCAGUUUUGUACAUGUAUAUAUAUUGUGGUUUUCUAAAAUUAACAACUAUCCCUAAUGUGUUUGUUUGUUUGUUUGUUUUUUUCAAAUAAGGCAUAAUGUAUCAGAACUGAUACUUUCUGAUCCACAUUUUUCAAUAGGCAAUAUUUAGUUAAUUUUAAGUCUUUAAAAUUUUUAAAAAUAUGGCUUUAAAGUAAAAUUUCUGUUCUCAGUAGAGCCACACUUAGGACAUUUUAUUAUCACAUAUUAACUAGGUUAAUAUUACUUUGCUAUUUUGAUAUAAUCACUUGAAAGAAAAUAUGCAACAUGUUUCAAAUGUGACUUCUAAAAUUAAUCUAUUACUAUUUCUGUAUAUUCAGUGUUAUAAAUUGGGUGGUGGUGGCGCAUGCCUUUAGUCUCAGUACUUGGGAGGCAAGUAUCUUUAAGUUUGAGGCGAGCCUGGUGUACUUAGUGAGUUCUAGGACAGCCAGAGCUACAUGAAGAAACUUGAAAAAGAAAACAACAAAAAAAAAAAAUAAUAAAGCAACUCAAUGUUAUAAAUUAUAUUACAAACACCUUAGUACUAAAUGAGCAUAUUUUAAAUUACCUUAUUAUCCUGUGGGGUUUUUUUUAUAGUUUAUUUCUGACAUUCUACACUGACAACUUAGUGGAAAACAUUUUGUUCAUUUUUAUAAAAGAUUGCAGUUGGGGUUGGGGAUUUAGCUCAGUGGUAGAGCGCUUGCCUAGGAAGCGCAAGGCCCUGGGUUCGGUCCCCAGCUCCGAAAAAAAGAGCCAAAAAAAAAAAAAAAAGAUUGCAGUUAUUUUAUUGUUUUUGCAAAAUACCUAAAUUUACUAUAUUGCUACUAUUUCAUACUUUCAAUUUUUAUUUCAAGACUAGGUAUUACUUAAAUUUAAUAAAGUGUUGAAACAUAACUUACAUUUAAAGUUGGAGUCCUAAAUAGCAUUUUAUUAUAUAUAAAUUAUUUUAACAGAAUAAGUGUUUUUACUUUUAUAAAUUGAUAGCUCUGGGCUUAACUACGGUUUUAGCUCUGCAGUACACAUUUAACAAUUGCACUGGAAGUUUUUUGAUAGUUGUGAUUUUUACAUUUUUAUUUUAUUACCGUGUGUAUGGUGGGGGUGUGUAUCACAGAGUUCAGGGGACAGUCAAGUUGGGACCUUCAUUUCUACAUGUUUCAGGGAUGAAACUCAGAUUGUCAUAGCAGGCACCACUACCCACUGAGCCAUUCUGCCAGCUUCAGUUGUGGCUUUUGUUAACUCUUUUAGGCUAGGUCCAGGAAGUAUUAUUACUUAGUGGUAGACACUUGGCUAGCAUGCCAAGACCCCAAAUCGAUUCCUGAAAGGGAAAAAAAAAAUCAUAUUGGCUGAACACUUAAUGCUGUAUUUAAUUUUUGCCAUUCUGGAGAUUGUUUUUCUAAAUAGUACCUGAAGUCAGCAGCAUAUGAUAGUGAUUCAGUUCGUGUGCCUGGGAGGAAACUGGGGCAUUUUGUGAGCAAGAGUGUGAUUUUCUUUUUUGAUUGGAAUUUGUACAACUAUGGAAUCUGUGCACUCGUUCUGAUAGAUGGUAAAACUAGUCAGACAUUUGAUAAUAGUUAAAUGUAGUCUCAGAAACUGAAGACUGUUAAUGUGUUAAGUUUUUAAGAUACAUUGUAAGUUCCUUUUCUAACCAAAGCAGUCAUUUAUCUUCUCUCUUCACCUCACCCUUUUUGAAUUUCUCCUUAAAUAACUUUGUCCUAUGCUACAAGUGUACUUGUUAAAUAAACCAUACAGAAGCACUUCUUUUCUCAGAGCUAGGUGCAUAUGUUUUUCUUGAGUAGUGCUUUUUAAAUAGUGGGAGCAUCAUGUAGAAGAAGCAAGUGUCACCACCAUAAGUCAUUCUUGUCUCUUAUAAGAAUUGAAGCUGGGUGAUCGCUGCUGCUCGUCAGCCAGCUUGUACUGCAGAGUUCUGUUAGUCUAUAAUCAGAGUGGCCAAGGAAGUUUGCACACAAGUGGAAAGGUUUCCCAUAUGUAGUUUGAAGAAUGGUCUUUUUGAAAGACACUCUCUUUUCAGUGCUUCCUUAAGAAAAUAGUAAAUAUCUGUGGGCUUUGGACUUCUUUUUUAACUGUUUAUUCAAUGGUGUUAUAUUUAAUUUUUAUUCAGGAAAUUUCAUGUUAGAGUUGGCAAACUCUACAAAUACGUGUGCUUUUCUACACUUUUAAGCUAAUAGAAUAAGAAAAUAAGUUGCUUGUAUCACAAAUUCAGAUAUAUAUUUGAGAAAGAAAAGUUGUGACCACUUUGGAGUAUUUCUUUCACUUUGAGGACGUUAUCUUCCUUUUGUAGCCUCAUAUAAAAAAGGCUGAAUUAUUGUUAGUUUCACUAUAAUAAAAACAUUCUAUACUUCAUGUUGUCAUUAGAACUAGCAUAGGCCAGAGGUAAAAAUGUACAAAUUGUUAUUUUUUUUUCUUACCCUUAAACUUUUAUAUUUCUAGUCAUACUUUUAUGAUUUCUUCUUAAAAUGAUACCAUGUCCUAUUGUGUAUCUUAUAGUAAUUAGACUUUAUAUUUCAAGUGAUAUAGUUUUAUAGACUUGUACACUUGUAAUUUAAACAGACUUGCAUCAACCUACAUGUUUUUCUCUUCCGUCUGUAUAAUUACAGUCCUAGGUAAGUGAAUACUAGCUCUCUGUUUAAGUUCUGGUUUUAUUUAUAAAACUUUGAUAGAACACUACUAGUGAUGUUUGUUUUUUUGUUGAUCAGUGUUUUGAUUUAAAGCCUGACAUUUGCAGUAGUAUUUUUAAAAGAUACUCAUCAUUUCUCUUUUGUUGUCUUCAUUAAAAUUUCUUCUGAUCCAUCCCCAUGCUUAAUGUUUGCUUUAUUGGUCAGAGUUAACUCAGAAUACCAUUUCUUAAUUGUUAUUACUAAGAAAAUUAGCUUUUGUCAUAUAGUAUAUUUACGUGAGUUAAUCGAGACCACGGUCUAUUCUGACAUUGGGAAAUUAAGCAUUUUAACUGUAAUUGCUUUCUAGGGAGAGUGGUGUUUCUGAUAUGGUGAUGUAGUUUGACAGAUAGACAUACUGAUAUUGGGGGUGCUUAACCUAAAAGUUAGCUGCAUAAUCUUCUCUUGAAAGUAUCUUCUACCCUGAUUGACUCCUGCUAAAACAUGUCUGUGGACUAGCUAGUAAAAUAAGCUAAAAUAAAGCAUUUUUUCCUGAUCUGUUUAAUCAAAAUCUCUGAUACUAGGUAUCUAAAAUUUAUACAUUUUACAAGCUCUAAAAGAUUCUUUCUACUUUCUUUCUUUCUUUAAAAGAACACCACAAAUGAGAUGGGGUGGGGGUGGGAAGGAUUGUUCAUACCAAACCAAGCAUUGGGCUUUAGCAUCCCAGCCACUGGUUAUCUUGGAUCUACAAAAUUCAGGGUCUAAUUAGAAAGCUUAUCAUUUCUACCACACUUCUAAUGUUGGUAUUGUCUCAGUCAUAUGAAGAAUAAUUCAUUAUCAGAACUUUAUUUUUAUGAGACUGUUUGGGAACAAAUUCUGGUUUAUUCUAGUGGAAGCCUUAAUAUGUAUACCUGUGUUCGCUGUACACCAAAAGCAGAAGAGAUUGAUCACUUAAGAAAAACUGCUGGCUGGGGAGAUGGCUCAAAGGUUAAAAGAGAGCACUUGCUGCUCUUUCAGAGGGCCCAGGUUCACUUCCCAGAAUCCACAUGACAACUCACAGUCCCGGUUCCAGAGAACCCAACACACGUUUUAGCCUCUGUGGGCUCUGUGCAUGCAAGAAGAGAACAGACACACAAGCAGGCAAAGCCCGCAAACAUACAAUAGAUGUGACAAGUAAAAGGAAAAUAAAAAUAAAGCUCAACACUUUAAAAAAUGUUAAUUUCUAACUAGAACUGGCUUUUUCUAAUGUAUUUUCAGAUGUUGGGGAAUUUGUAGUUUGUGGCCCACUUAGUAGCUUUGUAGUGCAGUUGAAAUUACAGUAGACCCUUCCCCAUUAUAUGUUGUGAGAUAGUCAUAUAAACUAUAUAGCCAUUAAAAUAAGAGUUCUGUAUAUUGUAACUGUAUUCAGCAGAUAAAAACCCUUUCAAGAAAAUAUAUGUGUACAACAGUUACGUUUGUAGUUAUGGUGUAAAAAUUCAUGUAGGACAGAUAAGUACUUCAUCAAGAUUAUAGUUACAUUGUAAGAACAGAAUGAGACCAGAACUUAGCACAGAAGGAUCUUAAUGUUUGAUUGGGAUUUUUUUUUUUUUUUUAGCAUUCAGUAUAGAGUUGGUUUUGGGGUAGAAAAUCAUGUUGGCAUUAUUGGAAAAGGGGAUUGAUGGAUUUUGAAAGAAAAAGAAAUGUUGCUACUUCUGUGAGAAAGUAUUUCAUAAUAAAAUGCACACUUGGAAUAUGCUGGUAAAAUUAUAAAGGUUUAGUGUAUUCUUUCUGUGCUAUCUCUUGUAAUAAGUACAUGUAUGUAGGUAUGUUGGUAUAUUCCAGUAAUCCCAGCACCUAGGCAAGAGUAUCCCAAAUUCAGGGCCAGUUUGGGCUGUAUUAACAAGACUGCCUCAAAAGUACAAGUACAGUGUAUAAUCAUAUCCCACAGAAAUCAAACAGUGCGACUAAGGUCACUAGGGUAGUUUUGUUUGAUCAUUUUAAAGGAUGGGCUGUGAUGUAUUUCCUGCUAGGGUGUGAGGCCCUAAAUAAACCCUUUCCCUUAAGAGGAAAGCACAGCCGUGAGAACAAUUGCAGCAUUGCUAGUUUGUCUUAUUUUUUGCCUCAGACAUUUCUAAACAAUAUUUUCUUCUGGUGUGUUUUAACAUGGCAUAAUGCUUUAUUUCCAGAUCUUUUACUCCCCUCAGAGUUAUUUAUCCUCAUAGAGAUUAGUAACCACUGAUUUUUUUUAUUUUUUUAAUGUUUAAGAAUCAGGAAAUAGUGAUUGUUGGCAUCAGUUGAAAAUGUUUUUGCUUAUGUAAUAAGAUCAAAUUCUAAAGUCUUUACUCUUUUUUCCCAGGUUUAACAAUGAUAAAAUGAAGAUAUUACUAAAACAGCCCUCUAAGUAGCCCAACAAUUAUUAUUUUGUAAGUAUUAGUUUCUAGCUCCUUCCUUCUUCAGUGACCCAGCACCACUGCUACGAAGACUUGUGUUUGGUAUCAUAUUUCCAUUUGUAUCUGAUUAUUUUUCUGUUUAUUCUUGAAUAACUUAAAUCGCCCAUUAGCUCUCUACUAACUGAUGUUUGAUAUUAAUUUAGAACAAGAAUGAUCUCAUUGCUUUAGGCAACUUUACUAGUGUGGAAAGUAUUUUAUAGAAAGACCCUGUUAUCUCCAAGUCUGAAAUCACAAUAUUUAAUCCUUUCUUUAAAAUUUACAAAUAAGCAAAGAUCAUUUUUAAGGCUUAUAUAUUUUUAUUUUAUUUGUGUGCAUAUAUGUGUACCAUGUAUGUUCCUGGUAUGCAUGGAGGUCAAAAAGAGGGCAUUGGAUCCCCUGAACUGGAGUUAUAAGGUGUUGGUUGUAAGCUACCAUAUGGGUGCUGGAAACCCUGGUACCUGUAAAAGCAAGAAGUAUUCUUAACCAAGGAGCAAUCUCUUCAGUACUGGUAAUGGUAUUUUUAUUAUCAUUACUCAAAAUGUAUUGAUCUUACAGUUUUAUAGCUUGAAAAUAGACUCGUGAGAAAUAUUUUUGGUUUAUACAUUUAUUUGAGACUUCUUUGUACAUUCAACUUUUAAAACUUCAGAGGAAGGGAAAACAGCCAGUGCAGUUUCUUUUCUGUAUGUGUACACACUUUUACACACAUUAAGAUUGUCCUGAUUCAUUUAAAUUUUGAAAAAUAUAAAUUAUAACAGUAAUUCUAACAGAUUGGCUGACAUUAAUAUAUCUCUAAGAAAACUAGCAUUAAAAUAGUGUUAAAUACAUACAAGUAAUUAUUUCUAUGAAAGUAAUUCAGAUUCUCAAAUUAACAGUAUCCACUUGAGCUAAUUUUAAAUCUCUGCAGAGAAUUCAGGACCAAGUUUCUGUUGCUAAUGGUGUUAAGGGUUAGGUGACCCUGUUUAAAAGAAAGUCGGUGCUUCAGAUGCUUCCUUUCCAUUGUGUCAGCUAUCUCAUUGGUAAUCCAGAACCUGUAAGUUAGGUGACCUUAUAAUUACAAAUGAUCAGCCAUUCAACUCGAGUAUUCAGAAUGGUUUAUUUGGGGCCAGGUGGUAGAGAGGUAAGGUGAAUAAAUACUGAAACCUUCAUUUUACUCAUGGUGAAAUGCUGUUUGCUUUUUCUUUUUUCCAAUUUUUAUCUCUGGGAAAUUAGAAUUGAAAUGUUUAUAAAUCCUAACCUUGUAUAAUCUAGGCUAGGGUUCAUUAAUUGGUCACAUGGAAGCCAGCUUCAGCCUUGUAUCAACUUAAAGUUUCUAGGAAAGACAGUUUUUCUCAGUUGAUAGUGUAUUCCUACUGUGACCACACUACAUUAUCCUAUGUGGUUUUCUGCUGUGUCUACCUUUCUCUUUUAUUUAUUUAAUACCAUAGUUUCUCUCAAGAUAGUGAUUUAAGUUAAUCCCUUAUGGACUGUGUGUGUAAGAGGAGGGGGUGGGGGUUGUUUGUUUGAUUGACUUUUGUGUGUUUGGGGUUUUUUUUGUUUUGUUUUAUUUUGUUUUGGUGAGGUGUCUUUUUUUUUCCUUCCUUUUUCUCUUACAGUGCUAGAGAUGAGAACCAGAACCAUACAAGGUCCAAGACGAGCACUUUUCUGUGCAUAUGGAUGUCCUAGAAGUUGUGGCAUAAUGGUAUUAAUAUGCUAGACGUACUGAAUUGAAUAAUCGUAGUUUUGCAUUCGUUUUUCUAAGAGAUUUCUUUCACAUUUGCUUUCUAGUUUAGAGUUCUAAUAGAAAAUUUUUUCCGCUUAAGAAAUUCAAA
rnacentral:sRNA from 1 species